rnacentral:rRNA from 1 species
GCAUAUCAAUAAGCGGAGGAAAAGAAACCAACAGGGAUUGCCCUAGUAACGGCGAGUGAAGCGGCAACAGCUCAAAUUUGAAAUCUGGCUUUCGGGCCCGAGUUGUAAUUUGUAGAGGAUGAUUUUGAUGCGGUGCCUUCCGAGUUCCCUGGAACGGGACGCCAUAGAGGGUGAGAGCCCCGUCUGGUUGGAUGCCAAAUCUCUGUAAAUCUCCUUCGACGAGUCGAGUAGUUUGGGAAUGCUGCUCUAAAUGGGAGGUAUAUGUCUUCUAAAGCUAAAUACCGGCCAGAGACCGAUAGCGCACAAGUAGAGUGAUCGAAAGAUGAAAAGCACUUUGAAAAGAGAGUUAAAAAGUACGUGAAAUUGUUGAAAGGGAAGCGUUUAUGACCAGACUUGGGCUUGGUUAAUCAUCUGGGGUUCUCUCCAGUGCACUUUUCCAGUCCAGGCCAGCAUCAGUUUUCGCCGGGGGAUAAAGGCUUCGGGAAUGUGGCUCCCCUCGGGGAGUGUUAUAGCCCGUUGUGUAAUACCCUGGUGGGGACUGAGGUUCGCGCUUCUGCAAGGAUGCUGGCGUAAUGGUCAUCAACGACCCGUCUUGAAACACGGACCAAGGAGUCGUCUUCGUAUGCGAGUGUUCGGGUGUCAAACCCCUACGCGUAAUGAAAGUGAACGCAGGUGAGAGCUUCGGCGCAUCAUCGACCGAUCCUGAUGUUCUCGGAUGGAUUUGAGUAAGAGCAUACGGGGCCGGACCCGAAAGAAGGUGAACUAUGCCUGUGUAGGGUGAAGCCAGAGGAAACUCUGGUGGAGGCUCGCAGCGGUUCUGACGUGCAAAUCGAUCGUCAAACAUGGGCAUGGGGGGCGAAAGACUAAUCGAACCUUCUAGUAGCUGGGUUUCCGCCGA